GGCCACAACUGUGGCAUGUGGAGGUUCCAAGGCUAGGGGUCAAAUCAGAGCUAUAGCUGCCAGCCUACGCCACAGCCACGGCAACUUGGGAUCUGAGCCGUGUCUUCGACCUAUACCACAUCUCACAGCAAUGCUGGAAUCUUACCCACUGAGUGAAGCCAGGGAUCAAACCUACAUCCUCAUGGUUGCUAGUCAGAUUCAUUUCCAAUGAGACACGAUGGGAACUCCUGUCAGUCUCUUUUCUAAAUUUGGAUCUGCUUCUAACAUUUCAUCCUUUGUACUUGCAAUAACAUGAAGUAUCUAAGAGACCCCCCUAAUGUGUGUGUAGGCUUUUUUUUUGGGGGGGGGUGUUUUUUGCUGGCAUCGUUUCCUCUAAGACAACAUCUCUUUGUCAUUUUCCACAUUUAUGGCAUAAGUUCCUAAAUUCUUUUGGUCCCUUAUCUUGAGUCUCUAGACAGGCUCCAAUGUCAACAUUCCCAUACUCAGCUGUAUUUCCUAAUAUCCAUUGACAUUCAGUUUCAAUUUUGCUUCCUCCAUUGUCACUUUUUGUUUCUUCUCUUCCAUUUUGGUUGGCAAUUCAUUCCACUAAUUACCUAUUUGUGUACAAUGUCAGAUUGCUUAUCAUUGGAAGACAAGGAGGCAACCCAACUAUAUACUUUGCUGCUUGUGAGCAAACUAAGUAACAGACGCACAGACCAAUCACCGACUGAGUUUUAAAGAAGUGACAUGAUUGUGACAGUGAGGCACAUAUUUAAGAAGUGACAAGCUUCCUAAAUAUAUGCACUGAUGACCUAGCAGUAAAAUUUGUACUUCGUGCAAGUACAGUUCACACACUAGGGUUAACGGAAAUCUGAAUCAUGUUGCUGGAGGAGACUGAUUUUAUUUAACUAAAUUGACAAAAUUUUGUAACUGAAAUUCACACAUAUUGGAAUCCUGCAAAAUGAAGACUAGCUGUGUUAUCUUUGUGAUUCUUGGGACUGGGUCUUACACACCUGUAACAGUGAAAUGACAGCACAUUUGAAAGAAGGCAACACUGAUUUUAUUCUGCCAAACUAUUUUUUUCAUCUUGUGAAAUAGUAGGGUUGUAGUCACAGGGAGGAUUAUUGUUUAGCCAUUUCAUUGAAAAUCUAGCCCACAUAUCUUUUCUUCUCACCCCUACAGACCUGCUCUUUUAGGUUCCAUCUAGUUUACAAAGUAGUAAUGAAGAUAUUUCCUGUCUUCAUGAAAAACACUUCCAUCCUCUCCCUGCCCCAGGGAGGAAAUGGAAAGAGAAUGCUUAUCCAUCACAACAGGAUGUAGAGCCGUGUACCCAGGUCCUCCCCCAUGUGCCAGAUUUAAUGCAGUCAUAACCCAGGCACAAAUCUAAGCAAUAUGCCAUAUGUGUGGUCCUCAGGAGAAAUCAGAACAAGCCUGCAGGAAGUUAGGCAGGGCAGUAAGCCUCAAAGACAUUGAAUAUUCAUCACCACAAUAUUGCAUUUCCUUUGUAGCUUGGUUUUCAUGGGACUCUGUGUACACAUUAAUGUAGAGGGUGCAUUUGAGGGGCAUGGAGCCUGCAUUCAUCUCAUCCUGGUGCAGAUGUUAUUGUUAAAGUGAGAAGAGGAAUACCAGGAGGUAGAGGUACAUGAAAAGGGAAGAGCCAGGACUGCCAGGAUCAGAGUUCAUCCUAAGAUCAUCAUCACAGUUGUACAAAAGUUUAUAGUGAAGGGAGAGUAUCUUUGUUGGCAUUUCCAAGAGGCAGAUCCUGAAUGUAAGUAUUUAAUUUGGGUGGUAAUGCCAUCAAGAUCAGGAGAAUGGAUAAAUGAAUCAUGGACAGCAAGGAAGCAAUACAGAAUCCUUCAAUGAGCAGGUUGCGAAUGUAGGCAACUGGGGCUCAGUCACCCUGUGGACCUCCGUGAAGUAAGGGAGAAUGUGCCUCAGAGUUGUGUUACUCAAGGGACAAGAAAGCUCUUGAAGACAGCUCAGCCUUCUGGUUGAGGGCUACUUGCUAUCCUUCAACUUCUCAGCACUUACUAUCUCCUCUGCAUAUAGCAGAACAUACCCUAAGAGGCUGAAGAAGCCUGAAGGAAGAGAGUCAUAAAUUCUUACAGUAAAACCCACCUGAAGUUUAUAAAAUGGUGAGUAUCAAUGGAUAAAGGUAGGGUAUCAACAGUGUCCAGCAUUGGGUUACGGCCAUGUUCUAGGCACUAUUCUAAGUACUUUGCAUGUAUUAACUCAUUAAUACAUGAGAGGCUAUAAAAAAUUUACAAGGUAGGCACUAUUAUAAUAUUUUUAUAAAUUAGGCCCAGAGAAGUUAAGUAACUUGCCCAAGCUCACAGGCUAGCAAGUGGCAGAAGAAAAAUUAUAAACCGUAUGUUAAGGCUCCAUAUAAUCUUUGCACCAUACUGCCAACAUUCUCUGCAAUGCAUGCUUGAUUGUCUCUAUCUAUUUCCUUUGUUUUUCCACAAAAUCUUGCAGAUUUUUAAGGCUUACUGUAUGGCUGUGGAAUAGCUUCAUUUUUAAAUAGGAUAAAUAGGGAGAACAUUUAAUGGAGCAAGGCAUUUUACUCAGGGUUCCCAAUAGCAUAAGGUACUAGCCAACUCUGGACAGGAUACCUGAGCUUAUAUAUGAGAAAGAAACAUUCUUUUCUUAUUUAAGCUACAGUGGUUGGGAAUCUUGUCAUUACAAUUGCCCAAUCCAUAUACUAACUAAUACAAAGGAUAAUGUUGGAGUUUUCAUUUCAGCUCCCAGAUACCAAACACAAAAGACAGGUGGACCCAGUCGCUGCCUGAGACCUUACAAGGAGGUGCUGAGUUAGCAUCUGUGUACCUGCAUUCCUGGCCUGGUUGGGUUGUUUGUGCAUGUUUCUUCUCCUACUUUAACUAAAAGAGGGUGCAGCCUCUUCUAGAAUUUCCUUUCCUUGUGCAAGGAGCUGGUACAAGAGACAACAUGAUUAAGUCCUCUUUGGCUCCUUCACGAGUCACUGCUUGAUUUCAAGUCUGCCUCACCAAACCAGUCCUGAGGUCUUCAUGCCCAGAGCUGUCAGCAACCCUCCCACUUUCUGUUUACGUUGGCUUGUGUCACUGUGCCAUGCUGUAGGUGUCGGCUAAAGCUGUUUACUGGCUUUAUUUAAAAACACCUUGAGGUGUUCUUAAAAUUCUGCUUUGAUUAGCAAUACAAACAAGUAUGGCAACGGGGCAAGAAAGUAUUGGAUAUAAAUGAACCUAACAAAAUCCCACAGAACAGCAUGAAGAAACUUUGAAAAAAUGGUGUAUUAUUUAAACCCAAUAUUACACAAACACAUAUACAUACGUAUAUGUAUAAUUUCAGGAUAUCUUACAUUUUUACCAUACCACAGGCCACGUCCCGGGCUAAGUGUAACUCCAGAGCAUAUUUUUUAGGCUUAAGCAACAACUAAAAAAUAGUAAUCAAAAUAUUAGUUUAAUAUGCUUGAAACAUAACAGCAUCUAAAAUAAGAUUCUUAUUGCAAAAGCCACACAUGAGCUUCACUGCUCACUUUUAUAGGGUCAGUGAACAUGUGAGGGUGAAAUGUGAGCAGAACCAGACUAUACAAAGCAAAGGGCUCAAAAAUCAGUUCACACAGAAUCAGCAACUACCCAAGUUAAAAAAAGCACUUGUCCAGCCUCCAGGAAACAAAGGCACAAAGAGAAGAAGAUCACAGAGCUGGUCAGUGGCAGAAUCAGGACCCAGUUCUCCUGUCUUUUACACUGCACAGCAGUUAACAGUCUCCCUCCCUCUGUAUUCUUACUUCAUGAUGAGGCACUGACUUACACUCCCUCAUUCUCCACCACCCUCUUAUUUUCCAGAGUCAUGCCACCCUGCCACCUGCCUUACCUAACUCUGACCCAUGGGGUCUGGCCACCUGUCUGCCUUAAUAUGGGUGUGGAUCCAUCAGAAAAGAAAGUUAAAGAGGGAAGUCAGGAGGGGAGUGAGGCAAGCACACUCCUCUGACAGGAGAACCCAGCACUGCCUCCCUUCUACAGCCCAAGAAUAACAUCCAGGCAUCCACAUGUCUGCCUCCCACAAGCUGACACACAGUGUCUUUGUCCUAGAUUGAAAGUAUCAGCACUAGAGACCACGUCUAUGUCUUCUCUCUCCCGAGAGUUAAAUGAAGCUAGGAAGUAUUUCUAGAAGUCACAUGAAACAGGAGCUUGCAACCCAAGCAGAAGAGUGCUAUGUGGGUUUUGUUCUCCCUAUGUGAGGGUGACUCUACAGGAAAGCAGCUUGCUAGAACCAAGGCACUAACAUUCUCCAGCCCAAAUUCAGAGUGACCCACAAAAAGCCAACACUGAUGCAGCAUGAGUUCCUUCUCCCUGGAAAAAAAGGGUCUUGCUCCUGAUGAGCUGGGAGGGGACAGGGCAAGAGUAUAAACAGUUCAUGGUAUGUGUUCCAGUCAGUAAUAAUGUCUAUCCCCAACCCUCACCCCAGGAGCAUUUCUUAAUAUAACAUUUGAUCAUUGCUUAAACAGAUUACAAUUCCAAAAAAACACUUAGGAGCUUGGUGGUAACGAGCACCAUUCAGUGGUGGUUCUAGUUUACAACUUUAAAAUGUUAAUCACACUGAUGUAAACCCCAGAAAAGACAAGAAAUGGAGGAAAUUAACAUGUGGUACAUUGGCAUUGGUUUUGUCCAAUUAGUUUUGGUAAUCUAAAUGUGUUCUCAAAGCACCUCUUAAGGGGAACCAAAGACAUGUGACACGUUUAAAGUACUGCAGCCCUACAUCCUCUGA
rnacentral:lncRNA from 1 species